AUGGCCAAAACAAUCCUAAGACAAAGAACAGAACAAAGUAUGUAUCCUAGAGAUCUUCCCAGAUCAACACAUAGAGGUGGUCUUUCUCUUUUACAACCACAGGUCCACUGCUAUGAAAGCACUCAUUCCUCUGGAUACUCACUGAAUAUCAGAAGGUCCUUGAAAAGAAUUAUAACUCUUUCAGUGGAGGUUAACUAAUCUUAAUCCUUCUGCA
rnacentral:lncRNA from 1 species